CUCGCUGAUGACCACCGAUAGGACUCUACAACUGUCGAGAAAGAGGACCUGUAGCGGGAAGGGGAAAGGGAUCUUGAAAUGAGGAAAGUUCUAAUAGGCCUUCCUGAGUCUAGGCUGACAGGCAAGUAAUACACAAGAAAGAUAAUUGGAUUCAUAAUGGUUUGUUGUUUUCAGUUGAAGGAGAGUACAUGACUCUUCCACGAGAGUGGUUUCUUAGUCCUCACUCACUGAUUCGGUUACUACUUGAGAUUGCCUACAUCAGAAAGCCUUUACUACAAAAUUUAAAAUAGUGCUCAAAGUGUGAAUAUGCCUGGAAGAAGGAAUGUGAUAGCAUUAAAGCUCAGGAAUUCAACUU